GACACUGAGGUCUCAGACAUGGAGACGGAGAAGGACUCUUGUUUGAGACGUCCAUCCUCAGGUGAUUUUAACAUUUAAGUCUUUCUUCUGGGUGAUUGUCCUGCACAACACAUGUCUUUAUGGAGAGGUGUGAACGGAGACCCACUUUGUUACUAGAAUAUGUUCAAAGACCAUUAAGACAACUUUAGUGAGUUAAUAACUGUCUGAUUUGUUAAAGAAUCCUCAGGAGGAAAAAGAAAGACGCCUUCCUCUGAGUGUGGUGAGGACACCCUGCCCUCAGGUAUCCCACAAACCCAUGCACCCUAUAAUCUUCCCUGUUUUCAUGUACACAGAGAAAUAUUAAAACAGAUUUUUUUUUUAACAGCAUCCUCUACACCAAGAAGGCCACACCAUGUCGAGUCAGACUGUGAUGAUGCUGAAGCAGGACCCUCUGAAGCAAAGAGACAAACUGUGACAUCUAUCACGGAUGACUCUGAAGAAGGAACCCAAAGAUACAACCGAGCACAGCUAGAUGAAUCCUCUGUUACAGAAAGCUCAAAGAGGAGGAGUUGGACACCAUUAGAAGUGCGUGCAGUGGAAAAGACUCUAAAGCUGUUCCUAGAUUCGGGCAAAGUUCCUGGGAAAGCAGACUGUGUGGAUUGCAUCAAGGCCUCACCACAAGAGUUAAAGACAAGAACCUGGAAGGCUGUUAAGUACUACAUUAAAAAUCGAAUCACAGCAGUUCAGCGGGAAAGUGCAAAGAUUUUAUCAGGCUUUUAUUUUGAGUACCUCCUCUACACUGGCGCUGAAGCUUUUGUUUUUAUUUUGUGAAGUCAGUACUUCCUCUACAGGGGAGCUGAAGCUUUUAUUUUUAAUUUGGAAAGUCGUUACGUCCUCUAGGGUGGCGGCAAAGCUUUUAUUUUAUUUGGGAAUGUUGGUAAAUCCUCUACGGUGGCGCUGAAGCUUUUAUUGUUUUGUUUUGGAAAGUGAGUACGUCCUCUACGGUGGUACUGAAGCUUUUAUUUUCAUUUUGGAAAAUCAGUAUGUCCUCUACCAUG
rnacentral:lncRNA from 1 species